AAUCAGCAUUAGGGUUUUAAACCUUAAACUGAGUUUUCCUUUUAGUCAGCAUUAGGGUUUUAAACCCUAAACUGAACUUUUUCCUUUAGCCAGCAUUAGGGUUUUAAACCCUAAACUGAGCUUUUUUCUUCCAGUCAGCAUUAGGGUUUUAAACCCUAAACUGAACUUUUUUCCAUUCAGCCAACAUUAGGGUUUUAAACCUUAAACUGAGCUUUUCCAUGCAUGUCCGCAUUAGGGUUUUAAACCCUAAACUGAAUUUUUCCUUUAGUCAGCAUUAGGGUUUUAAACCCUAAACUGAACUUUUUUCCAUUCAGCCAACAUUAGGGUUUUAAACCCUAAACUGAGCUUUUCCAUGCAAUCAGCAUUAGGGUUUUAAACCCUAAACUGAACUUUUUUCCAUUCAGCCAACAUUAGGGUUUUAAACCCUAAACUGAGCUUUUCCCUGCAAUCAGCAUUAGGGUUUUAAACCCUAAACUGGAUUUUUCCUUUCGGCCAGCAUUAGGGUUUUAAACCCUAAACUGAGCUUUUCCUUUCAGUCAGCAUUAGGGUUUUAAACCCCAAACUGAACUUUUUUCCAUUCAGCCAGUAUUAGGGUUUUAAACCUUAAACUGAUCUUUUCCAUGCAAUCAGCAUUAGGGUUU
rnacentral:lncRNA from 1 species